rnacentral:tRNA from 1 species
GCCUUCGUGGUGUAGUGGUCAGCACGCUUGACGCGUAACCUAGAGGUCCGUGGUUAGAUUCCUGGUGAAGGCG